UUUAUUCAAUGGUUAAAAAUGAUUAAUUUUUCAGACUUCAAGCAUACUAUUUCUUGAUGCGCCAGUGGGCACAGGUUUCUCUUACGCUACAAAUUUGAGUGCAUAUUCUACCUCCGACAAGAAAUCAGCUGCACAGACAUAUGCCUUCCUUGUUAAGUGGCUAAUUGAUCACCCAAAAUACCUCAAAAAUCAGUUGUUCAUUGGGGCUGAUUCUAAUUCAGGCAUAACUGCUCCAAUAGUAGUUCAACAUAUAGUAGAGGGAAAUGCUGUUGGGGAGAGGCCACGCUUGAAUCUCAAAGGCUAUAUUCUUGGGUGCCCGCGAACAGAUGUAAUUAUUAAUGAAAAUUCAAAAAUAUC